rnacentral:lncRNA from 1 species
UAUAUCCUAGAUCUCUUUUGGUUUUUGGAUCAGAGCUGAGGCAAGCUUCUUUUACAAAUUUGUGCUGCAGUCUACUAAAAGAGCUGUUCCCUGCCAGGAGAAUAUUACAUACAGUUCUGAGAAAAAUGAACAGAGUCAGCUUGUUUGAGAGCUAACUGAUGCUUACUCACAACACUGAUAAGCCUGACAUUUACUGAGAAGUGCCACAAUUUUCAGUCCAAUGAAAAAUCCCAAGAGGAUGGUUUGUGGUUUUUUUUUUUUUUUUCAGUGAUGCUUCACAUUCUAUUGACUCAGGAUAAGCUGGAGUUUUCUGAAGUAUUUUAGUCAAAAAAAAUAAUGGAGCCCAACUCCUCCGCUUGAAUUACAUACAGAUGUACUAGUCUUCCUUGGCACAUUUGUUAAUGAUUGUGAUCAGAAGCUCUGGCCUCAAACCGCUCUGGGUAUGUGAUGCGAUAGCCAGGUGUGCAAGGAAGACAGUAGCUGAAGCAAUUGCUGAAGCAUUAGUGACUAUCCUGGAAGUUCUCGGAAGUGCAGCUGAGACUUGCCAGUGUUCAGCGAUGUAUUCCGCGGAGACCUUGUCCAACAACAAGCACCACUCCUGUCUUCAGGCACGAGCAGGAUUUUACCUGCAAUGCACAGCAGAGGAGCCAGCACGUGCUGGCAGACCUCAGAAGCAAUGCAGGUAGGAGGAUGUAGAAGCACCCACUACAGAUGACAAGAUGAGAGCAGGGAGAGUACAUGCCUCUUUGAUUUGUCUGAGUAGGUAGAUUUUUUUGUGUUCUUUGUACCUUAAAGCCCAGUGGCUUUCUUUUCUCAUAACUACAGUUAAAGCACUUUCAAUCUGAAGGGCUUUUCUGUACUGAACCUUUGUCUUGUACUCGCACCACUGUAUCUCUUCAUUUUCAUUAGUAGCAGAUGGAGCAUGAGUCCCAGUUCUUUCUUUCCAUCCUUCCUGCCAAGAGAUCUCUGGUGCCUAGGCAUAUUUUGCGGAUACUUAAUCUUAUGCUAGUUUUCAUCCAGUGAUUUUGAUUAAUUUUAUCCGUGUACAUAAAAUUACUUUGUGAGUGACACUUUUCAUGAAAAAAUUCUGUUGAAAGUUAGGUUUACUAACCUGAUUCUGGUGAAAACAUUUUAUGCUUACUUUUUUCUAUUUCGAACCUCAUUAUUAUUUUUUUUGUAAUCCACUUUUAAUUGUAAGUACCCAGCAUUCUGCUAGUUCACGCGGCACCAAAUGACACAAGGUUGCUCUGGAGUGCUCCAGUGAGCAUCUUCUGGGGAAUAUUGAAAUUCCAUGGAAACAACAUGAGCACCAUUAUCUGAAACAGCCUCUUCAGGCAAACCAUAUGGGGUGAAAUAUUCUGUGCUGCUUCAAUAAUCCGAGCACAGAUAUGUUCACUGGUAACUCUGCAGUAAGCAUCACUCAUUUGCUUUGUCUGUGCAGUAUUAAUGAGCCAUUUCAAUAGACAGCAGGUUUCAACUAUAUUUGGUGCAUAUUCAUGUUGCUUCCUUCAAGUUGUUUCAAAACUCCUUCCACUAGAUUAACUAGAAAGUUGCAGUUACUCUGUCAAGUGCUGGGUACCAAGGACAAGGGCCGUCCUGUCCUUUCCAGUCUUGGCUGGAGAGUGGGGCUAAUGUUUGGAAGAGAGACAGUGUGCUAAGCAUGCUGCCUUUGCGGAGCACUCCUUCAGCAGGGAGGCUU